CUAUUCAUCAGUCACCCCUAGAACCCUAAAAGACUUUUUAGUUCUUUUUAGCCAAUUCUCAGCCUCAUAGAAAGCCGAUGCUCUUAUAAAGGGGACUGGAUUCAGUCGCUUGUACCUCUCAACAUAACGUGGAUCCAUCGCUAAUAGAGCUAGGCCCAUUGAAGCAGAGGAGGAGGUGGAGGAUCAAACAGGUCCCCCCAUGCAAGAACAGGGGGAGGAUUUGGAAGGUCCCUCCUUUUUUCUCUAGCUUGCUGACCAGUAACGAGUCUCUCCAUCAAGUUG
rnacentral:lncRNA from 1 species